rnacentral:rRNA from 1 species
UACGGGGGGGGCAAGCGUUGUUCGGAAUUACUGGGCGUAAAGGGCGCGUAGGCGGCCUACUAAGUCGGACGUGAAAUCCCUCGGCUCAACCGGGGAACUGCGUCCGAUACUGGUGGGCUCGAAUCCGGGAGAGGGAUGUGGAAUUCCAGGUGUAGCGGUGAAAUGCGUAGAUAUCUGGAGGAAUACCGGUGGCGAAGGCGGCAUCCUGGACCGGCAUUGACGCUGAGGAGCGAAAGCCAGGGGAGCAAACGGGG